AUUGAAUGCAAGGAUUUGACAAUUGUUAAGUAUAGUCAGAUUUAGGGAAGGAGGAUCAAGGGACAGUAUGUUCGAAGUACUUGUAAUAUCAAACAAAGUGCAUUUACAUUAUAUAUUGUUCAUGUUUUGUGUGUUUAACCAUCCUAUGUUACAAUCUCAGACAUGUUCUGCGUGAGCAUCAGGCAUGCAUGUUUUAGAUCUUAAUCAGUUGCGUCAAGAUAAGGAAAAUGAAAUUGUAGGAUUAAAAAAUUGUCUAUUCCAGGCCUUCUUCAGAAGUGUCUUGCCAACAUAGGCGUUAACCUGCAUCGUAUUUAUUAUUUGAAUUGCAAUAGAAGGCUGUAAAAUUUUCAAUUUGCAAAAUUUUAUUAUUG
rnacentral:misc_RNA from 1 species